AUGCUGCAUGUCAUCAUCAAGAAAACCUUCCAGAAUUCUGAUGCUGGGAAGAAAAAAAUAAAACCACCUACAUUUGAACUUUGCAUGUGGUCUCUUCCUCUUGUUGGAUGUUUUCCUACACCUCUACCAAAGUUUCCAAGAUGGACCUCUUCUUUUUCUUCUUUUCCACCCUUUAUUGAAUUUGUUCAUGUUGUUUUGCCAGCUUUCCCAGUUCCACCUAACCCAAUGAGCAGCUGCAAAGCCAUUUAUGGAUAAUAACUGUCCUUUAAGUCAAAGUUAAAGAAAGACUUCAUACUGUUCUUUGUAAUGAUUCAUUAGCCUUUUCAGCUCUUCAGCCCACUAUGAAACCAUAAAAUUCUCAUCAUAUAAAAAAGGAGACAGUAAGACCACUGUUCUUUUUUUCCAUGGCAAAUUUAAUUAAAAAGAUGAUGUUUCAACUUUCUCUAAGUGCCAGUCUGAAAUGGUUGGCCUUAAAUUGCAAAACCAAUGCCAGGAAAAGAUUUGGAUGACAUAUUGAUGUUCCUUUUUUCCCCUGUAAACCCAGGAAAGUUGUUCAUGUGUAUGUAAGGUUAUAAUUUAGCAAGGCACUUGGCACAUAUGAACAAACACAUUUGAAGAUACUUAGGUGGCAGCAUCACUAUUACCUUCUUCCAAUUAUUCCACAAUGGAAAGACAAUGUAAUAGGUUGAACAGAACACAAGGUAUUGCUCCCACUGAAGAGAGUAAAAAUCAAUCCAAUAAGCUCCUUUGUGGAAUGAGGUAUCUGAAAUCACUGCAGCAGCCAAAAGCAAA
rnacentral:lncRNA from 1 species